rnacentral:misc_RNA from 1 species
GAUGAAGAACGUAGCGAAAUGCGAUACGUAAUGUGAAUUGCAGAUUUCAGUGAAUCAUCGAAUCUUUGAACGCACAUUGCGCCCGCCAGUAUUCUGGCGGGCAUGCCUGUCUGAGCGUCAUUUCAACCCUCAAGCAACUUCUGCUUGGUGUUGGGGAUCGGCCGUCAAACGCCGCCCCCGAAAUCUAUUGGCGAUCUCGCUGUAGCUUCCUAUGCGUAGUAGUAACAUCUCGCAUCUGGAGAGCGGCGCGGUCAUGCCGUAAAACACCCAACUUCUCAGGUUGACCUCAGAUCAGGUAGGAAUACCCGCUGAACUUAAGCAUAUCAAUAAGCGGAGGA